rnacentral:rRNA from 1 species
UACGUAGGGUGCGAGCGUUAUUCGGAAUUACUGGGCGUAAAGCGUGCGCAGGCGGUCUGUUAAGACCGAUGUGAAAUCCCCGGGCUUAACCUGGGAACUGCAUUGGUGACUGGCAGGCUUUGAGUGUGGCAGAGGGAGGUAGAAUUCCACGUGUAGCAGUGAAAUGCGUAGAGAUGUGGAGGAAUACCGAUGGCGAAGGCAGCCUCCUGGGCCGACACUGACGCUGAUGCACGAAAGCGUGGGGAGCAAACAGG